rnacentral:rRNA from 1 species
GAUGAACGCUGGCGGCGUGCUUAACACAUGCAAGUCGAACGGAAAGGCUCCUGCUUGCAGGGGUACUCGAGUGGCGAACGGGUGAGUAACACGUGGGUGAUCUGCCCUGCACUUCGGGAUAAGCCUGGGAAACUGGGUCUAAUACCGGAUAGGACGAUGGUUUGGAUGCCAUUGUGGAAAGUUUUUUCGGUGUGGGAUGAGCUCGCGGCCUAUCAGCUUGUUGGUGGGGUAAUGGCCUACCAAGGCGUCGACGGGUAGCCGGCCUGAGAGGGUGUACGGCAACUUGGGGACUGAUAUGCGGCCCGGCCCCCGGCGGGGGGCGGCGGGGGGAAAUAUUGCACAAGGGGCGAAGGCCUGUGGCGGCGACCCCGGGUGGGGGAUGGCGGCCUUCGGUUGGUACCCCCCUUUCGCGGGGGACGAAGCGAAAGGGACGGACCCGGGAAAAGAACCCCGGGCUAACUCCGUC